GCCAAACUACAUCUUUUUUUCUGGACUAUUUUAUUCCUCAGUCUUGACCCCAAAUCCAACUUUCUGGGCCGAACCCAUGACAUCAUAAUCUGUCUGUUGCCAUCGACACAAACAGAAGUCCUAGGUGUGGAGGCAUGGCAGAGCUGUCAGAACACCUGGGGUCGACAUCCGACACUCUGUGUGAUUUUGGACAAGUUCCCACUCCUCUCGGAGCUGGUUCCUCAUCUGAAAAAUGAGGUUGCAAUACCUACCUCUGAGAUGGGGAGGGGAUCGAAUAAAAUAAGAGGUGUCAUAGCCCCGAGGAAGCGAGAAGUAAUUCCUUCAACAGCUACUCAGGAAGCACCUGGCACUGUUGCUGUCAAACAGGACGAAAAAAGGACCCGCCCUCUUGGAGUUUCCAUUCGAAGGGGGCAUUUGCACUGGAGUUAUUUGCCGGACCAGCUCUUCCUGAAGGAGCCUGUCUCUAUUUGUGAAACCACCAAGUUCCCCAUCACGUCAGAACCUCAGGAUCGUCUCUGACAGGUAACUUCUUUGGCAUGAGAGUUGAUGUGACACUGAGAUGAGAGGAAUAGGUGAGCAAAGCCUGUUUGGCGACCAGGAAGAAGAGUUGUGGGAACCAGUACCUCAAGAACUGGAGAAAAUUCUGGACCUUCACAAUUAUUACCACCAAACACUACCAACUGCCAUCACCAAGCUUCAACAAUCUCUCCCUUAGACAGCUAUCCAUUAUGGAAAUACCUGCUCAGCAUGGUUCUUCCUAAAAAUGUUGCUCUAUAUCAUGACAGUCAUUAUACACUACCUCCCAACGGGAUCUGUUUGGUUAUUUUAACUGUGUUUCUAUUGGCAGUGUAUAAGAUGAAACACCUUCUAAUUAGUCUUGAACAUCCCCCUGAAGAUAUUUACCAGUUAUCCAUAGCUAUGUAACAAACCAUCCAAAACUUAGUGGCUUAACACAACCAUUUAUUUAGCUCAUGAUUCUGUGGGUUGGCAAGUUGGGCUAUCCUCAAGUGGGCGGUUCUCCUGCUGGUCUUGGCUGGGUUUACUCAUUUGUCCAUGUAUACUGUGGGUCAGCGGGGAAGCUCUGUUUCUGGGGGUCAGCUGGCUGUCA
rnacentral:lncRNA from 1 species